GUUCUUCCAAGAGGCCAUCAGCAAACACAAUAUAGGAUUUAAAACGUAUCACGUAAGUGCCUCAUAUUUGUUGCAGUGUAUUUAAAAUAAAAGUGUCUACCAAUACAUGACCGUACUACAAAUAAGGAAAGCUCGCCAUACGGGAAUCACACUAAAUCUCGUAUGACAGAAUUUCCUCUCUGUGGCAACCGACACACAACCCAGCUAUGAACAAUGUAACAAAGACAGGUGCUAUGAAGAUGAGCUGAAGAAACUUGAAAAUUGAUAACGACACACUUGGUAAGUACUUUUACGGCUGUCUUUCUGCAAAACAAACCAGAAAUGAGAACUACUGCUUUUUAUUGUAAGCCGCUCACGAUGCUAUUGGUCUGCUAAGCUAAAGCUAGAAUGCUAAUGCUGAAUGAACAUGAAUUAUUAAUCAAAAACGCCCCCAAACUACUUUCACCACGUGUUUGUGUGAGGAUGGUUAGUCGUUGGUGAAACUGGCUGGUUGCACAGCCUGGAAUUUUUAGGCAAUUUCACAUCACAAAUACAGCACAGGAAGCUAACUCGUGCCGACAUUGUCAUAAUGCAGAAAAAAACAAAAAAAACAAAAAAGGAUUUAAUAUGCUGUAUUUCUGUUAUGCCCUUUGCCCGUUGUAUUUUCUUCUGUUUCUGGGGAUCAUAGUGGGAAAAACAUCUAAUUUGUUUUUGUGUUAUCCUGUGUCAAAUUGUGUUAUACACAUGUAAGAUUUAUUGCAAGAUAAAUACAAAUUUGUACUUAAACUAUAAUUAGAAAGCUGCAGUUACGUUAAACUCUCAAUCUUUCUGCUUUAUUAAUAGUGCCGACUACAUCAAAUGACUUCAUCCAUCCAGAAGGACAAAGUUUAUAAAAUAAAACACUUGUGUGGUUUGUUCAUAUUAAAGGCAUUAUGUCCAAGUGAACUUUCAGUCUCUUUAGAUGCCAAUACAUAUAUGAGGUAGUAAUACUGUCUAGAGCACAGCAUAAAGUCUGAUUCCAUCUGUGUGUUUAAGUUUCACCAAAUAAACUCUGGUUUUUGGACUUGGAAGUGGCUAUUUGUACAUAGCCGUAUCAUUAAUUCCAAACUCUAUCUGCACACAGCGCACCCUUGUUAUGGUUAAGAUUAGUGGUUGUGGUUAAUGUUACGUAUCAAUAGAAAAUACGUGUACAAGGAUCAUGUGACCUAGUUCACUAUACAAAUAUGGCUACAUACAGAUGGCCACUGACUGUGAUUUAUCUACAGUACGUGCAGAAGCUGGCAAAAUGUGUUAUUUAUAUUUAUUUCCUUCCCCAGGUGGUGAUCAUUUGAAAAUUGCUGGACGUCAAAAGGAUGAGUGAAACCUGAGGAUGUUCCAAAGAGAAAAUGAAAAGUCCUUGAUUAACUGAAGAUCAGACUGAAGAAUGCAGAAAAGAGGAUUCUUCCAUCCAUCUUCUAAACCCACAUGUUCCAGUUCAGGGUUCUGUUUCAUAUGAACAAUAUGACAUGCAUCAUAUUUUAAAUCAGUUGAUCUGCAUUGUGGUGUGCAAGGUGUGCAGAGGUGGUGGUGUCAACAAUAUUCAUUCCUUGUUUGCUUAUUGCUGUAUGCGGGGACAUACGUCAGAGGAUGCAUAUUUUUUCCUAAAAUGGUUACAAAUGAACCUCAGAGUAAAUUUAUAUUGUCUGGCAACCACUGUUGGAAGACCAUGAAUAUGAGAGACCUGUAUACAAAUUAAUGCAUUCUCCCUGUACGUGAGCCUGGAAUUUGAUUCACGUACUGAGAAAAUGGAUAUUUGCAUACGGGACUCCUGUAUUCUGUUGUUACAGAUACGGGAGUUCUGUAUGGCCCUCAAGAAAUGCUCCCCGUGUGGGAGCCUCGUUUUCGAUAUUCGCCACAAGGUGGCGCCAUCGCACUCACGUACUCAUAGCAUUUCCAGAAAGCAAUACGUGCGGUAUUCACAGCAUUGCCAUUUCAAACAUGUAAAUACUGUAGUUACCUGUGGUUUGAGAUGUACAUGAUGGGAACUCCAGGAAUCUUACGGACCCGCCUCUUUAGAUCUCUGUCCACAGUGGCCAGGAUGUAACACUUGUGCUGUUAAA